ACUCAACGAUCUUAUUUUUAUAAGAGGUGAGUCCAUAUUGUAAAAGCAAGCUGUCUUUGAACAGAUCCUUGAUCAGUUGGUUAGCCGCAAACCUUUUUUUACGGAGUUU
rnacentral:sRNA from 1 species